AUUAUAUAUAUAGAGAGAUCCAGUGUAGAUAUAGAGAGAGAAAGCGGAACAGAGAGAGAGGGAGAGAGAGAGAGAGAGCGAGAGAGAGACGAAGGAAAGCACAGAGCAAUUAGGGAAGACGGUAACACUCCGAUCAAACCCUAGGCUCCUGAUUGUCUGUUGUUUCGGCCGUUGUUUGGAUUUGUUGCAACCAGUUUUUUGUUCCUUUCUUUUUGGUUAUUGACGGCCUUUUUGUGUUUGAGGAGAUCGGGAACAGAAAUGGACGGGCGUCUUCAGAUCUGGCUUUCUAGUUGUGGUGUGAGGCUUAAUUAGAAUCAUCACAUGGCUCUCUUGACAUACUGAUGGUAAAAAUCUCUCUCAAUCUUCUUGGGUUUCUCGUGCAUUGGCAUUGCUAAUAAUCAUCUGGAUUACUGUAGUUUAGUUGUGGAAAUUCGGAUCUUGGCUUCCAGUUGAAUAUUGUUAUUGGCCGCAGUUGUAUUUCUUGUUCAAUGGAAUUUGGAAUGUAAAUUUGAUGAUCAACUGAGAGUAAGUUGAAAGUUCUGUUCUGUGUCAUCCCGGUUGCUGGCUGUGUGAGGAACUUAUCAGCGAUCUGUUUUGACAAUUAAUGUCGCGUAAGUUGCAUAGCCCUGUUCAGACUCAGAUGGCCGUGGCAGCUUUCAGGAGCCCGCUUGGAAAUGGGGAGUAUCGUGGAAGUAAUGUAACUGAAGGUGAACCACCAUGUCGGAGGCGAGUUUUUGUGCAGACUGAUUCAGGGCGUGUAUUGGGGAUGGAGUUGGACAGGAGUGACAAUGCACAUACUGUGAAAAGGAGAUUACGGAUUGCCUUAAACUACCCCACUGAAGAGACUUCUUUGACAUUUGGUGACAUGAUUCUCAAAAAUGAUCUUAGUGCUGUUCGGAAUGAUUCCCCUCUCCUGCUGACCAGGAGCUUGAUGCACAGAAGCUCGUCAAGUCCAUGCUUGUCGCCUACCAGUAGGGAUCUCCAACAGAGAGAUCAAAGUGGGCCAAUCGAGAUUCUGGGUAACUCAAACUGCUUUGACAAGACAAAGCCACUUGCUAAGGAAAUCGUCAAGGCAGUGAAAAAAGGUGUUGAUCCGAUACCUGUACACAGUGGGCUUGGAGGUGCAUAUUAUUUCAGAAAUGCACAAGGUGAGUGUGUGGCAAUUGUGAAGCCGACAGAUGAGGAACCGUAUGCUCCAAACAACCCCAAGGGCUUUGUUGGGAAAUCUCUUGGGCAACCAGGCCUUAAACGAUCUGUGAGGGUUGGUGAAACAGGGAUCAGAGAAGUAGCUGCAUAUCUUCUCGACUAUGAUCAUUUCGCAAAUGUGCCGCCUACUGCUCUUGUAAAGAUCACUCACAAUGUCUUCAAUGUCAAUGAUCGUGUGAAAGAGAGCAAGCCACAGGACAAGAUGCUUGUCAGCAAGAUUGCGUCCUUCCAGCAGUACAUUCCACAUGAUUAUGAUGCUAAUGACCAUGGGACCUCAAGUUUCCCUGUUUCGGCUGUGCAUCGCAUUGGUAUUUUAGAUAUUAGGAUUCUGAACACCGAUAGACAUGCAGGCAAUCUUUUGGUAAGGAAGCUUGAUCGAGUAGGGAGGUUCGGUGAGGUGGAACUUGUCCCCAUUGAUCAUGGCCUGUGCUUACCUGAGAGUUUGGAAGAUCCAUACUUUGAAUGGAUCCAUUGGCCUCAGGCUUCGAUCCCAUUCUCUGAAGAUGAACUUGAGUACAUUCAAAAUCUUGACCCUGCUUUUGAUGCAGAGAUGCUGCAACGUGAGCUGCCCAUGAUUCGAGAGGCGUGUCUGCGUGUAUUGUACCUCUGCACAAUUUUUCUCAAGGAAGCUGCAGCAUAUGGACUGUGUCUUGCUGAGAUAGGGGAGAUGAUGAGUCGGGAAUUUCGCUGUGGUGAAGAAGAUCCUAGUGAGCUUGAGGUUAUAUGUAUUGAAGCAAGAAGACUUCUUGCUGAGGAAAUGUUAUCACCGAAAACUGAGGCAGAUAUUGAUGAGUUUCAAUUCGACUUAGAUUGUGAAGAGGGCCAUGAGUUAUCUCCAAAGUUGGUCUCCGAAGAUUUUGUAUUGGGAGCACCAUUCCAUUUUGGCUUUGGAGGCUUAAAUGGCCGUAAUCCAUUAUCCAAGCUUGAAGAAUGUGUCGAGGAGGAUGAGGAGGAGGGAGCAAAAAGUGAUGGAGAAGAGGAGGGAAUUUUUACGCAACCACCAGUAGGAGAUGAUCAGCAUGUUUCUAAGUUGUCUAUGUCACUGAAAAACAUUAGCAUAGGCGAGAAGAACUUAAAGCCCCUAAAGUUUCCAGGGGCCAAACCGAGCAUUAGCUCUCUUGCUAGCUCAUCAUCUGGCUGCAGGAGUGCCAAUGAACAGGUCCCUGCAAGUAUCAGCUUUGUGAAGCUAUCCGACAUGAACAACAAAGAGUGGCAACUGUUUUUGGAUAAGUUCCAGCGGCUGCUUCACCCAGCAUUCGCCAAACGGAAGUCUACUGUCCUUUUCCAGAGGCAGAGACAGAGGCUUGGGACUUCCUGCCAGUUUUGAGAGACGGGUAUGGCUACAAUAAGUUGCUAUGAUAGAUGAAUAUUAGAUCGACGGCUUUACCAUAGCAUAUGGUAUCUUGGUUUGUGCUUUCAUAAUCAUCCCUGAGACAUACUAGGUUGAAGUAGCAGCAACAGGUGUGUGUAAAUAUAUCUCCGGAGGCCCACAUAAUGGUUGCAAUUGUGAUAUGUCUUCAAGAACAGAACCUGAUUCUUGAAGACGGCUACAAGGUAAAGUGGCAAAUCUUAGUUGGAGGUUCCAAGUUUUGGUGAUAAAAGUUUCUUUUUUUCUUGAUAUGUAGAAUCAAGAUAUCCCAGCUGGUAUGGGAUCUUACUUUUAUAAAUGAAAUAUGUCCUGAUAGAGUUUGGUAUAUUCCCCCCCACCCCCGACUGUCAAUUGUUUGGCUGAAAGAAUCUCUCGCCAUUGAUCCAUUACAAAUAUCUCCUGAGAAAAGUAGCUCAGGAUAGAUAGCUAUAGAAUAAUUAGUUGAUUCCAUACUAAUAUAGCUCAGGUCCUAAAUUAAAUGAAAACCCUGAUGUUUCUUCAAGAAUUGAUACAACCCUUCAAUGAAAAUAACAUAGGGAAAAAAAAAAAAAAAAAAAAAGCCCCUUAAGAUUCAAG